AGAAAGCAACUCCCUGGCUCUGUCCUCAGAAGCCUGAGCUUGCUGACAUCUAUACCAGGACAGCCUCCGGAAACUUGGCACAGCCAGGGAGAAAGUCAAUAAACCAAGGGCAAGACUGCUGGGAUGUAGCACCUUAAUAUCCUAUCAGGUGAACUUGACAAUGAGCCCAGGCGAUCCUUGCCCCAGGGGCUUCAAUUUGCAUUGUCACUGAGGCCUCCAAGAAGUUAGGAUUGCCAAACUAGAAUGUUCUGUGGAAGUUUGACAGUACAAGGAGGGGUUAUGAGCCAACUGCUACAUUAAACUCUGCAUUGAACAAGAAUUAGGUAAUUUUAGCCUAGGGCAAAACAUUACCGAUCCCCAUCAUGUGCACUGCACUAUACUGGCUAUGCCUUCAAAGCUGCUCAUCAGUGAUUUGUAUUUUCUGAGACUCAAAGUUGGGAAAGAUGGAAACAUAUGGAAAGAAAUUAUUGGAAGUCACCAUCACAAGUCAAAAGUGAGAAUGUGAUCUUUCAUAUGCUGAUUUCAUAAAAUGUAUGUUUCUGAUAAGAAUAGAUACUAGAUCUUAGCCAAAAGAAACAAUAGGUGUGUGUUUCUGGUCACUAGAGCACACAUUUCUGGUAUUUCCCCUCCCCGACACCCCACAUCCGCUCAGCACCCAGCAUCUUUCAGCAUCCCAAUCCAAAAUCUUCCUGGGGUCUCUGGGGCCCCUCUGUCCUUGGGAGCAGCCCUCCACCCAUGGCUGGUGGGAAUGGAUUAAUAAUUAGUCUGGAAACCUUCCCCACUCUCUCCACCCUGAGAUGUGCUGUACGCGGUCUCCCAGCAUUCCGUGCCCCAGUUGAUUUUGGCAAUUACCUGCUUGGUCACAGGGCCUUUAGUGGCUGUUUUCCUCCCAUCUCUCAUCCCCAUCCCCUGCUAGUGUUUCCUAAUGUCACCUCAAACAUAAACCUUUGGACUCUUAUCCUUGACUAAGGGGCUUUUCUGGCAGAACACAGAGUAAAACUCACAAAACCCAGAAGUCUGCUUAACAUUAAAAUUAUCUAAAAACUAAAAGGCUAAUGAUG
rnacentral:lncRNA from 10 species